CAGCAGUCUGACAGCAGCCUCAUUCUGUCCUAGGCCUCCUAACCUUUGAGACAGAGGCGUAACAGACACUGAUGUUGGAUAUUGAUCAAAGAUCACAGAAAGACUUCUGCAGCUUUAACAACAAUAUGGCGUCCCGGCGCCUCCAAGUAGGUUACGCAUGCGCCCUGCGUCACGCGUCACGCCCCCUGCGUCACGCACCCACCAAUCAGCUGAAGGAAUACCUGCAAGAACCGGAUUAUUCUCCGACUUCAUCCGGAUCCCCGAACCUCCAUCCAGCUCACCGGAAACCGGGUAUUGAGAGUUUGCUUGUUGAUCCUGAGGAGGAGUUUUCUGCUGAGAGUUUUCAGGUUGUGAUUGAGCUGACUGAAGGACUCAGUGAUUGUUGUCUGAUCUGAUGGUUUCAUGUUGAGCUCUGACUGUAGACAUCUACACUGUGAUUGUGUGUUUGUUGUCUGCUGGUUGUUAUUCCAGGGUUCAUGCAGUGUUUCUUGCUUUAGUAGCCUGAUGAGAAACAGAUGCAGACAUUAUUAAAUAUGCACAUAGUGGACAGGAGGAGUACAGUAUGGGGGGGGGUGGGGGCUCAUUAAACCAGCUGUUAUAAAACCUAUCAACUGUUUACAAAGAUUAAAGUUAGUGGUUAAACUACAGAGUUCCCUCUCUCUCUCUGGGACACAGGCUGUCUCUUAUCAUACAGUAUGUAUUAGUCCUUCUUUAAGUGUCCCAGUGACUCUGAGGAAGAGACAUCGGACGGACCUCUGGAGAGAGUUCAGUCCAGUCUAGAUUAUAAAAUAGACCUGAGCAGCUAGAGGUUGCUCUAGAAUGUGCAGGUCUGGCACAAUAUUAAUAUAAUAUUAAUAUAACAAUGUUUAAACAUACUGUACUUCAGAAGUGUAGAUGUGAUAGUAAAUCUUUCUCUGGGUCCUCUGGGGUUUACUUUACUGGUUCAAGGAUAAACUGGUAAAGUUCCAGACGUUUAGUAUUACCGUUUCAAACUUUCUUUUAAUUUGAUUUUUAUUGUUAUAAUGUUACUGAUAUCGAUACUGAACAUUACUUAAAUGGGUAUUUAGGAAAAGAGAAGAUGUAUUACAAAAGCAAAUAUGAGAACAAUUAAAUCACAAUGUUUGUGCCAGAAGGUGUGAAAAAUACUCAGAUUAAAUACGUCUCCUUAUCACUUUCAGGGUGUUUUGUUGUUAAAUGUUUGAAGAGUUUGUGUGUAUCACAAAAGUGCUCUGCUCGUUAUAGCUGUGAACGUAGCGGUGCAGUGUGCGUGAACAGUUUAGUUGAAUAAAUGCUACAACCCCUCAAGA